rnacentral:rRNA from 1 species
UACGGAGGGAGCUAGCGUUGUUCGGAAUUACUGGGCGUAAAGCGCGCGUAGGCGGCUUUGUAAGUUAGAGGUGAAAGCCCGGAGCUCAACUCCGGAACUGCCUUUAAAACUGCAUCGCUAGAAUUGUGGAGAGGUAAGUGGAAUUCCGAGUGUAGAGGUGAAAUUCGUAGAUAUUCGGAAGAACACCAGUGGCGAAGGCGACUUACUGGACACAUAUUGACGCUGAGGUGCGAAAGCGUGGGGAGCAAACAGG